CUUCAUUCAGAUUUUAGCCUGUGUCAUAGCAGGAAGAAAUUUAAUACAAUGGGCUACCUAGCUCAGCUACAGGAUGUUGAUUCCAUGUGAAAUAUUGGAACCAUUCAAGAAGAAUGGAAAGACUGUAAAAUAGUUGAACAUGACUGAACUGUGAAAGGACAGUAGAUGAAUAGAGAAUUGUGGAAUAACAGCACCUGCCUUAGAACAUUAUGCGUCUGCAUCCCUGAAGAUAUGCAUGCCUCUAUUUGGAAACUCAAUGAACAGAAAGCACAACAUUAUUUAAUAUUGUCUGUACCUUCGUCUGAUGUUGCAGCAUGGACCACUAGCACGUUUUUUGUUCUUGCUUCUGUCCUUAAAUGGCCCAAGUUAAUUUGCCUCAGCUGGAGACAGCUCACCCAUCCUGAUAUGGUACCUGCAUGCAUAGAAGAAAAGUAAUGAAAGAAUUCCUGUGGUUUGGGUCAGUAAAUAAAACAGAAAGUCUUUCUGGUGGUUGUGGUUUCUGCACUUAACAAUGUGCUGUCUAUCCUUGCUAUUACAGAUCUUAGUUGAGUCUUAUAUAAACUAAACUCUAUUCCUGAAAGAUAUGUAUACAUAGUUUCAUUCAGUUAAAUGGCUGCGAAGAUGGUGGAAUUCACAGAACAUUUUGGCACGUAACCAAAACAUGUGGUGUUAUGUCUGUAAAAGAUCUGGCCAGGUACUGUAAUUAGAUCAUGGAUUUCGAGCUGUCACACACAAUUAUUUCUGGCAGUGCGCUUGUACAAUAUGUACACCUGUAACUUUCUGCAUUCUUAAAUGGGUGGAAGCAUUCAGAAACUCCUUU